AAACCAUGAUUUGGGCUUUUCUGCAAAUAUUCUUUGAACCUCUCCCAAGCUUCAUAUAGUUGUUCCCCCGCCGCCGCUUGAAUUCAUAGAUCUUGUCUCGAAUCU